AUGCGCACUAGUCUUAUUCAGAAGAUGGGUGGCUUCCGUAUUUGGGGUCGGGGCACGAGUGGCUGGUGGAGGGGCCUGGGGGCCCACGCACCGCCCAAGGAUUCAGGCUACAGCACCAAAUCCCGGAAUCAGCUGCAACCACAAGGCUCCAGUAAACGGUCGGGUGUCCCCCGGGACCAGCCCUUCCCGGGGGUGCUGCAGCCAAAGAACCUCAGCAGGGAGGAGCUGGUUGAUGUGCUUAGGGAAGCCGUGGUGGACCAGAAAGGACCCCUAGUGACAUUGAACAAGCCCCAGGGUCUGCCAGUGACAGGAAAAUCGGGAGAGCUUACAUUGCUCUCAGUGCUGCCAGAGCUGAGUCAGUCCCUGGGGCUCAGCGAGCAGGAGCUUCACAUUGUCCAAGCACCUGGGAAGGAGGCCUCUGGGCUUGUACUUCUCUCCAGUUGUCCCCAGACAGCAAGCCGCCUCCAGAAGUUCUUCACCCACUCAAGAAAGGCCCAGAGACCCACAGYCACCUACUGUGCCAUCACCAAUGGGAUCCCAGCUACUGCUGAGGGGAAGAUCCAGGCUGCCCUGAGGUUGGAAUGCUUUGAUGGCGUCAAUCUUGCAGUUCCAGUAAAGUCCCCAUCCCGAAAGGACAUCCUGGAAGGAGUCAAAAGGACUCUCAGCCACUUCCGUGUGAUGGCCACAGGCUCAGGCUGUGCCCUGGUCCAGCUGCAGCCACUGACAGUGUUCCCUGGUCAGCUGCAGGUACACAUGAUGCUGCAACUCUGCCCUCUGCUUGGGGACCACACCUAUUCUGCUCGCCUGGGCACUGUCCUGGGUCAGCGCUUCCUGUUGUCAGCCCAGAGCACCAAGCCCCAGAGUCAGGUCCUGGAUGAAGCUCUCCUCAGAUGCCUCGACCUGACUCCCUCCCAGUCUUCCCAGCUGCCCUUGCACCUUCACUUGCAUCGUCUUCUCCUCCCAGGCCCUGGGCCCAGGGACACCCCCAUGGAGCUUCUGGCACCCCUGCCCCCUUAUUUCUCCAGGACCCUGCAAUACCUGGGGCUCUGCCAACAAUAGGCCUCUGUUCCUGACCCCACAGCUGGAGAGCAGAGUGCACUGAGGGGAAGGGGCCUGUGGCCAGCCAGGCCCAAAGAGAAUGAGGCCAUUCUGCAURGAAGCAAAGGAAGAAUACUGCUUUGGCAAAAGCCUGGACUCUGGAGACAGAGCACCCUGGGAUUGAGUCCAGGCAGGGUGACUGAGACUCUGGAGAGGACAAUGCUUACUUGGCUGUAUAUUUUAAAAGAUUACUUUGUGAGUAGUGGUUCUUUCCUUCUAUUGGUGGUUCUGGUGGUAGGGCAAAUCCAAGUGGUUGAGGGGCUUAGAGAACAGAAGAAAUCACUUUGGGACACUGGGGUGUUUGAGGGAAUGCUGUUACCCAGGGAUUGAGGUCAUCCUCAUACUCAAUGGCAGUCUUUUCAAGGAAUGAGACUGCCGUUUCCCAC